rnacentral:lncRNA from 1 species
AGGGAACAAACGUUGCUUCACUGGCAGCAAAAAGGAGCAGAAGCAAACUGAACGUUUCUGUGCUUUCUGAAGGAAGAAAGAAGUCAAGAGUUUGUCUUUCAAGGAUGACUGCUCUUCAAGUACCCUGAGUAGGAUCCAAUCAGCUGUUGGAAAACCAUGGGCAACUGUGGAACUGCUGAAAGAUGGAAGGAAAGGAAAUACGACACUGCUUUUCUAAAAAAGAAAGCAGUACAAUUCUAGCAAGAGCCACACUACAUAUCUGGAUCCCAGCCCUCCCCAAAAGAUAACUCAGCUGACGUCUGCAGAGCCAGAUUUCCCUGCCUUGAAAUCCAAAUUCCCCUUCCUUGAAACCAAUAGCAAAACUCACUGAGACCAUUUGUUCAGGAUGCAUGCAAAGGGAUUUCUACCGGCUCAAGCAAGCAGUGAUGGAGAUGGAGCCCUGUCCUCUACAGCACAAGAUCCCUCCCCAUCGGUCAGCUGCAAGAUGCCAAAAAUUGCAUCCUCCCUGCUAUCUUGGGGCAGUACCUGUGUCAGGAAGAGGCAGACACGACAUGGCAGGAUCCUGCCGGCAGCUCAGGUUGGCAUCUGCUGGGCAGUGUCCCAAGGCAGGGAGGCACUGGGAGCCUCACUGCAGGGCUCCAGCCCAGCUGGCAGAAGGUCUGUCCUGCUGUAGGGCACAGGGCAGGUCAGGAACACGCACAUGUGGGCUAUGGGGUCCUCCUGCUGCAGAAAUCCAGCAGAGGGGGGUGCAGGGCCCUGGGAGCCGUGCGGGCGAGUGCAGGGAUGGGGGUGCGCCUCUGCUUCUGCCUCUCCUUUCUCUCCGAUUUCCUUUCUCUUGCCAUCUCUACUUCUCCUAG